AAACGUUGGGUACCAUUCCAAAAGCAACAGAAGUAGAAUCAAACAAUUUUUGAAGUGGUGAAGAAGCUUGUGGUUUAUUCAUCAACUAUUUUUUAUUUUUUUCUUCCCAGAUUUUAAGGAUAUCGAGGUUUCCGACGAGAAUCAUUGUGGGCUUACUCCGCGAUUGAUUUUCACAGUGUUGCUCCAUCGCAGCUCCCUCACGAGAUGAUCUGAGAGCACCAAUGGCCAAUUUUGGCUUGUUUGCAUUUUUCAUCCUCUAUGUAUUGUGUAAUUUUGUUUCUUAACCCAAACUAUUUAAUUGUUAAAAUGUAUCUUUGAAUUAACCCUUACUUAUUAAUUGUUCAUUUCAAUCUUCC
rnacentral:lncRNA from 1 species